GACGAACGCUGGCGGCGUGCUUAACACAUGCAAGUCGAACGGAAAGGCCCUGCUUUUGUGGGGUGCUCGAUUGGCGAACGGGUGAGUAACACGUGAGUAACCUGCCCUUGACUUUGGUAUAACUUCAGGAAACUGGGGCUAAUACCGUAUAGGAGCCGCUGCUGCAUGGUGGGGGUGGGAAAGUUUCGGCGGUGGCGGAUGGACUCGCGGCUUAUCAGCUUGUUGGUGGGGGAGUGGCUUACCAAGGCUUUGACGGGUAGCCGGCCUGAGAGGGUGACCGGCCACAUGGGGACUGAGGUACGGCCCAGACUCCUACGGGAGGCAGCAGUGGGGAAUAUUGCACAAUGGGAGGAAGCCUGAUGCAGCAACGCCGCGUGCGGGAUGACGGCCUUCGGGUUGUAAACCGCUUUCGCCUGUGACGAAGCGUGAGUGACGGUAAUGGGUAAAGAAGCACCGGCUAACUACGUG
rnacentral:rRNA from 1 species